CAGAGGGUAGUUUAAUUUAGAAUCU
rnacentral:tRNA from 3 species